CCAGCGCCCCAUGGCUCCAACCCCGGCCCCGCCCAGUGCUCCAUCGCUCUGCCCCAGGACCCACUCUGCCCUCUGCGCAGGCGUCCCCGACCUGCUCCCGCCCGCCCGGCUGCAGAGGGAUCCACCUCCUCCCGUGGCCCCAACACCACAUCCCAAACAGUCUAAGAGGCCACGUGACCCGACCUCUGGCAGGUGAGAGUGAUCCCUCACUUCUCUAUUUUCCCCGCGUGUCUUAAUUGAUAAUGACUUGUCAUUUUCCCUUUAAAAAGUCCACACGAGAAGACUCUGAAUCUCACCCUGGGUGGUACUUUUUCUUCCUGUGUUCUAAGUAUCCCUUUUGCGGGAAAUUAUUGACUAUAAAAUGCACACAACCCAUAUGGGUACGUGUGUGUGUACAUGUAUGUGCAUACACGUAUUUCAGUAAAACAACCACUAAUUUCCAUCUUUCGUUUGCUCCCUCCACCCCACCCUCGUCCCCAAUAAUAAAGCACUUACUGUUGCUUCUCCCACAGUGUCUUCUGCGGCGGGCUCUGAGUCUAGGUUUAGAUCCUCUUCGGGGGUCUGACAACAAGAGACACACGAAGUGCAGUCAGCAUGCCAGUGUUCUUGCGGACAGCAUCAUACAGGCAAUCGGUGCAAAGGACGAACUAGACACUAGGGACCGGACGGUAGGGCAUGGAAACGGCACCAAGGCCCCUCUCCACCUGAAUUUAAUUAGAACUCUGCAACGCUUCAUGCCAGAGACAGACCCUUUAUGUAACAGGAGGCAAAUAAGGCACUGAGUGCGUAUAUCCACAAUGACAAAUCACCAGAGCAGCCAGCUGUGCACGCCUGACACCACAAUUGAAAGGAGAAGCAGGUGGUGUAUACAACUCCCUGACCAGCACGGGGAGGGCGGGGUGUGGAUUUACACGGCCCCCAAAGUCUCAGGCUAUGAGGGCAGAAACAGGUUACAGGGAGGCUUUGUGGCCAGCCUGUUAGAGUGGAACAAAACCAUAGUCUCAAGCCAAAGCUCAGAGAGUGAAUUAAACCAGAGAGAGUCAAGUCCCAAAUCAUAAAGUCAAAAACAGUUGUUUCUGCAGAGCAGGCCUCGAGCAGAAAGGUCUGUGUCUGAGCUUUGCCUCCCACUUCAUGACUUCAGACAAAUUGCUUAACAAAUUGCUCAGUUUCCCCACAUAGAAAAUCAGGGACGUAAGGAUAUCUGCCACUCAGAGAGACAGACAGAAUUCAGGGAAAUAAGACCUCACAGCGCUCCGCCCCGGCUCUGGGUGCGGCGGACGCUCAGAGCUGGCUGCUGUCACAACCAUUUCUAGUUGGGUUUUCAGCCCAGCAGCCAGGAGAUAAUCGUCACUGUACGAGCUAGGCUGGGAACUUCAGGAGCCGUGUUUGAUCUGCAUUGCUUAAAAACAGGGCUUUCUCCUCUCUCUAACGUGUGAUGACACCUCGGAAGGAAAAAUGUCGCUGAGUCCUCUGAAGGACAAACAAGAAGGGUCAGCUAGGCCUCCUGGACUGCUGCUGCCCUGCCUUCCCCACCACACUUCCCACGAACUCACUCCCCAGCACAUCCCCCCUCCCCGGAGCACGCCCUGGGCACUGGGCCUCUGCUGACAGCAGUGGCGGGAAAGUCCUGCUCUGAAGACAUGUGUGUGUCUAACUUGCUGACGCACCGUUCAUACAGUCGGCUCAGUUCAGUCGCUCAGUCGUGUCUGACUCUUUGCGACCCCAUGAACC
ensembl:lncRNA